rnacentral:rRNA from 1 species
UACGUAGGUGGCUAGCGUUGUCCGGAUUUACUGGGCGUAAAGAGCGCGCAGGCGGUCGUUCAAGUCGCGUGUGAAAGCCCCCGGCUCAACUGGGGAGGGUCACGCGAUACUGAUCGACUGGAAGGCAGGAGAGGGUAGUGGAAUUCCCGGUGUAGUGGUGAAAUGCGUAGAUAUCGGGAGGAACACCAGUGGCGAAGGCGACUACCUGGCCUGUUCUUGACGCUGAGGCGCGAAAGCAUGGGGAGCGAACAGG